rnacentral:rRNA from 1 species
UUUGGAGGGCAAGUCUGGUGCCAGCAGCCGCGGUAAUUCCAGCUCCAAUAGCGUAUAUUAAAGUUGUUACAGUUAAAAAGCUCGUAGUUGAAUUUCGAGAUCAAAUUGUUGGUCGUGCCUCGGUACGUACUGGCAUUAUUGAUUUCUCCCUUCUGAAGAACCACGAUGUCAUUAAUUUGGUGUCGUGGGGAAUCAGGACUGUUACUUUGAAAAAAUUAGAGUGUUUAAAGCAGGCUCACGCUUGAAUACAUUAGCAUGGAAUAAUGAAAUAGGACGUUUGAUUCUAUUUUGUUGGUUUCUAGGAUCGACGUAAUGAUUAAUAGGGAUAGUUGGGGGCAUUAGUAUUCAAUUGUCAGAGGUGAAAUUCUUGGAUUUAUUGAAGACUAACUACUGCGAAAGCAUUUGCCAAGGAUGUUUUCAUUAAUCAAGAACGAAAGUUAGGGGAUCGAAGACGAUCAGAUACCGUCGUAGUCUUAACCAUAAACUAUGCCGACUAGGGAUCGGAUGAUGUUAAUUUUUUAAUGACUCAUUCGGCGCCUUACGGGAAAC